UGCACAACAGCUAGCCCCACCCCAAGAGCAACAACCCCAUAUAAAUACCCCCGAAUACCCUAGACAACAACCAAACAAACCAUUUUACCCCCUAAGUAUGGGCGACAGAAAAGGACAAUAGGAGCUAUAGAGAAAGUACCGCAAGGGAAAGCUGAAAGAGAAAUGAAACAACUCAUACCAGCACAGAAAAGCAGAGUUUACACCUCGUACCUUUUGCAUCAUGAUUUAGCCAGAAAAACUCAAGCAAAAAGAAUUAUAGUUUGACACCCCGAAACUACGUGAGCUACUUCAAGGCAGCUUAUUUAUAGAGCAAACCCGUCUCUGUGGCAAAAGAGUGGGAAGACCUUCAAGUAGAGGUGAUAGACCUACCGAACCUAGUUAUAGCUGGUUGUCCAAGAAAUGAAUAGAAGUUCAGCCCCAUGCUUUCCCUCGCCUCUCAGUGCCACUCCAUCAGUCACAAGGAAAACAUGGGAGUUAAUCAAAGGGGGUACAGCCCCUUUGAUAAAAGAUACAACUUUCCCAGGAGGGUAAAGAUCACACACAUCAAGGCACGAUGCACUGGUGGGCCUAAAAGCAGCCAUCCUGUUAGAAAGCGUUAAAGCUCAAGCAUCUCCCCUGCCUUUAAUCAGGAUAUACAAUCUUAACCCCCUAAAUGUAUUGGACCAUCCCAUUCGAAAAUGGGAGAGACUAUGCUAAUAUGAGUAAUAAGAGAAGCAAGAUUCUCUCCCUGCACACGUGUACCUCGGAACGAACCUGCACCGAACCUUAGCGGCCCCAACAGAAGAGGGAAAUGGGUAAUAAGUACGAUCACCAAGAAGAGCCCCCAACAACCAACCGUUAACCCUACACUGGUGUGCCUAAUGGGAAAGACUAAAAGGGAAAGAAGGAACUCGGCAAAACACAUUAAGCCUCGCCUGUUUACCAAAAACAUCGCCUCUUGCUAAAACCGAAGAAUAAGAGGUACUGCCUGCCCUGUGACCAUAGGUUUAACGGCCGCGGUAUUUUGACCGUGCGAAGGUAGCGCAAUCACUUGUCUUUUAAAUGAAGACCUGUAUGAAUGGCAAGACGAGGGCUUAACUGUCUCCUCCCCCCAGUCAAUGAAAUUGAUCUUCCCGUGCAGAAGCGGGAAUACAAACAUAAGACGAGAAGACCCUAUGGAGCUUUAGACAUAAGGCAGCCCAUGUUAAACACCCCUGACAAGGCCUCCAAACAAAAUGGACCCUCCCCGAAUGUCUUUGGUUGGGGCGACCGCGGGGAAGUAAACAACCCCCACGUGGAAUGGGAGAACCCCUCCCAGAACCGAGAGCAACAGCUCUAAGCAACAGAAUUUCUGACCAUUAUGAUCCGGUACUACCGAUCAACGGACCGAGUUACCCUAGGGAUAACAGCGCAAUCCCCUUUCAGAGUCCCUAUCGACAAGGGGGUUUACGACCUCGAUGUUGGAUCAGGACAUCCUAAUGGUGCAGCCGCUAUUAAGGGUUCGUUUGUUCAACGAUUAAAGUCCUACGUGAUCUGAGUUCAGACCGGAGUAAUCCAGGUCAGUUUCUAUCUAUGAAGCAACUUUCUCUAGUACGAAAGGACCGAGAAAGUGAGGCCCAUGCUCUCAGCACGCCUCCCCCUUACCCAAUGAAGUCAACUAAAUUGGACAAAAGGGCGCACCCAUUUGCCCAAGAUAAUGGCAU
rnacentral:rRNA from 1 species